AUUGAACGCUGGCGGCAGGCCUAACACAUGCUAGUCGAGCGGAUGAAGGGAGCUUGCUCCUGGAUUCAGCGGCGGACGGGUGAGUAAUGCCUAGGAAUCUGCCUGGUAGUGGGGGAUAACGUCCGGAAACGGGCGCUAAUACCGCAUACGUCCUGAGGGAGAAAGUGGGGGAUCUUCGGACCUCACGCUAUCAGAUGAGCCUAGGUCGGAUUAGCUAGUUGGUGGGGUAAAGGCCUACCAAGGCGACGAUCCGUAACUGGUCUGAGAGGAUGAUCAGUCACACUGGAACUGAGACACGGUCCAGACUCCUACGGGAGGCAGCAGUGGGGAAUAUUGGACAAAGGGCGAAAGCCUGAUCCAGCCAUGCCGCGUGUGUGAAGAAGGUCUUCGGAUUGUAAAGCACUUUAAGUUGGGAGGAAGGGCAGUAAGUUAAUACCUUGCUGUUUUGACGUUACCAACAGAAUAAGCACCGGCUAACUUCGUG
rnacentral:rRNA from 1 species